UACGUAGGGUGCGAGCGUCAAUCGGAAUUACUGGGCGUAAAGCGUGCGCAGGCGGUUUUGUAAGCCAGAUGUGAAAUCCCCGGGCUUAACCUGGGAAUGGCAUUUGGGACUGCAAGGCUCGAGUGCGGCAGAGGGGGAUGGAAUUCCGCGUGUAGCAGUGAAAUGCGUAGAUAUGCGGAGGAACACCGAUGGCGAAGGCAAUCCCCUGGGCCUGUACUGACGCUCAUGCACGAAAGCGUGGGGAGCAAACAGG
rnacentral:rRNA from 1 species